UCUCAGGAUCAUGAUUUUGGCCAACUUUUUCCUAUACAUAUAACUACUGCUCGGCUUUAGUUUUCGAGAUAAGGAUUGUUAUAUGCUCUUUGACGUGAGUUAGAUAUGGCUUAGGUUUAGGUUAGAUUUAUCUAUGGACUCCCAUUGGAGUAAUUAAACAUAUAGGUACAAUGCCAUCGGUUCCAAUAUUCAAGGAUAUUGAUUAACAAAUGAUAUCGGUCGGAUUUUUUCUUCCAAUACAUUUACCUAAGAUAGGUUUACCCAAAUUUUUUGGAUACUUCAUUUGAUGACAGUUUCAAAAGGAAGAUGGAAGCAUGAGAACUUGUUUGUAGGAAAGAGUUGAGUUGUUAUUUGAAAUACAUAAACUCAAAAUUUUUGCUUUAUUUUGUGCCGGGUGAGAAUAUCUCUGUAGUUGUGAAAUACAAAGAGGCAGUUUCUUUUAUUACCUAGAACCCAGAGGAGCCAAUCAAAUGGAAAAUAAGAAAUAAAAAUAAUAAUAGGCACUGAAACAGGACACAUUUGCAGUAUUGUGGUACUUUGAUAAUAGUCUUUUGUCAACAGAACAAUUGAUAAGAAUUGAUCUUCCAGUGUCAACUAAAAUUUCUUUACUCUUGUAUAAAACGCUAUUGGAUAAAGCCCCAGUUUCUCAAGGACACCGUAUGUUCAUUGACUAUUAUACAAGCUGUUCUUUGGUCAAAAAAUUAUACAAGAUGAUGUGUUAUCUAACCAAACAAAUUCAAAGAAAAUAUGCAAACAAAUAGAAAAAGAUUGCCAUAAAAGAUAAAAUAGAAUGAAACAUAUAUAGUAGCAUGUUAACAUUCAGCCAACCGCGCGCGCCAUAGCGAGCUAUUUCCCUCGGAUAAGCUAACCUAUACGUUGUCCACCGCGCAUUUUUGCAAAUAUCAAGGACUGAUAUUCACUAGUUAAAAAACAAAGAGGUGUAAAAAUUAUUUAAGUGGUUAAUUAUAUUUUGCGGCAAACGAUAACUAAUAAUAACAAUAACAAAAGAGAAAACGCAUUGCUAAAGUCAAAAAGGGAGAUCUUCCCAUUGGGUCACCCAGCGAUGUUCUUCACAGAGGGGAGAUCUCCUCAUUCGGUUGGCUAAGUGUUAAGGAAAUAAUACUUUGAUCCUGGUUUUGGAAAAUAAGCAGAUUACAGUAAUGUUGGCAAAUUGGGACAAUGGUGGAACUAGUUCUGUCAAAAGGAUACUAUGGAAUGAUACUAAAAUUAUUGUAGAAAAAUCUAAUAUUCUAUAUUACAUAAAAUUUAUGGAUGGUGUUGAUUAAGCAGACCAAUGCAGUUUAACAUAUUCCUUUAUGAGAAAAACUCUUGAGUGGUGGUAUAAGUUAUUUUUUGAAAGAUUAGAAAUAUCUAUUAUCCUGUAUAGAAAUUCAUACAUAUUAUAUAAUUUGUAAAAAAGCAAAGAAACGAAUGUCCACUUA